CGCGAUUCGCCCUUCGGGGUGCCCAGGCGCGAAAACUUUACAAUGCCGGCAACGGCGAUAAGGGAACCUCGAGUGCCAGGUUACAAAUCUGGCUGUCGUGAUGCCUAAAAAGCAUUGCAUAGCAAGGGCCGGGCAAGACCGGUGCCAGCCGCCGCGGUAACACCGGCGGCUCGAGUGGUAACCGUUAUUAUUGGGUCUAAAGGGUCUGUAGCCGGCCGGGUAAGUCUCUUGGGAAAUCUGGCAGCUUAACUGUCAGGCUUUCAGGAGAUACUGCCUGGCUCGAGGCCGGGAGAGGUGAGAGGUACUUCAGGGGUAGGGGUGAAAUCUUGUAAUCCUUGAAGGACCACCAGUGGCGAAGGCGUCUCACCAGAACGGACCUGACGGCAAGGGACGAAAGCUAGGGGCACGAACCGGAUUAGAUACCCGGGUAGUCCUAGCCGUAAACGAUACUCGCUAGGUGUCGGCCACGGUGCGACCGUGGUCGGUGCCGUAGGGAAGCCGUGAAGCGAGCCACCUGGGAAGUACGGCCGCAAGGCUGAAACUUAAAGGAAUUGGCGGGGGAGCAC
rnacentral:rRNA from 1 species